GAUGAAGAACGUAGCGAAAUGCGAUAAGUAGUGUGAAUUGCAGAAUUCAGUGAAUCAUCGAAUCUUUGAACGCACAUUGCGCCCCUUGGUAUUCCAUGGGGCAUGCCUGUUCGAGCGUCAUUUGUACCUUCAAGCUUUGCUUGGUGUUGGGUGUUUGUCUCGCCUUUGCGUGUAGGCUCGCCUUAAAAUAAUUGGCAGCCGGCGUAUUGAUUUCGGAGCGCAGUACAUCUCGCGCUUUGCACUCAUAACGACAGCGUCCAAAAGUACAUUUUACACUCUUGACCUCGGAUCAGGUAGGGAUACCCGCUGAACUUAAGCAUAUCAAUAAGCGGAGGA
rnacentral:misc_RNA from 1 species